AUUAAGGUGGCAGAGCCCGGUAAUUGCGAAAGACCUAAGCCCUUUUCCCCAGGGGUUCAACUCCUCUCCUUGAUA
rnacentral:tRNA from 1 species